ensembl:snRNA U1 U1 spliceosomal RNA
AUACUUACCUGGCAGUGGAGAUACCAUGAUCACGAAGGUGGUUUUCCCAGGGCGAGGCUUAUCCAUUGCACUCCGGAUGUGCUGACCCCUGCGAUUUUCCCAAAAAUCCGGAAUGCCAGGGUAAGGUUGCCUGUACCGGAUGUGACUGCUGUGCCCACCCAGCA